CUUAAAAGCUUUUGGAUUAGAUCUGAAAAUUAAUUCCUUUCUUGUAGAUUGUGCCAAGCUCCAUUAAAACUCCCUUGAAAUCUGCGGAUUUGAUAUUGGAAAACCUCCAAUUCAGCAGGAAACCCAUAGAAAAGCUUUGUGAGUCUCCCAACUUAGGUCAAUCAUCGAGCUGAAUUCUGAUUAGAAAUCCUAGAGAGAGUUGGUCUUCUGCAAUAAAAAAGUUGGGUUUUAGGUCUUAUCCUUGUUUGAUAUAUAAAAGUCUUUGCGACCCAAUUGUGCUGAAAGCCCUAGGAAAAAGUUGGGCUCUUGACUAGAGAAAAAGGUGGGGUUUUGGGCCAAAUUGAUUCAUUGUCUUUAGAUCAAUAUAGGGACCUUCAAUUCUGAGGAAACCUUGUAGAAAAGUUGGGUUUUUUGUGGAAUUGAUGCUUGAUUUUUUCGUUUCAGUCUGAGAAUUUCUUGAAUGGUGUUUUGCUUGAUCAAUUGGUCGCAAAUUUUUGAACCUUGAAUUUUUUUAUCAAAACCCCAAUAAAACUUGGGAUUUUCCCUACUUGAUCCCUUCAUUCUGGAACCAGUCUCUGAACCUUGAAAUUUUGCUGAAUAAACCUAAAAAAAAGCUGGUUUUAUUCUUAGAAAAGGUCAGUUUUUGGGCCCUUUGGAUUCCUGAUUAUUAGAUCAGUCUUUGAGACUCCAAUCAGCAGAAAAACCCUUAAUAAAAGUUAGGCUUUUAGCCUUAGGAAAAGCUUUGUUUUCUGAUAAUAAAUUCAGUGAUCAUUCAAUUCAGCUGAAAAUCGCCUUUUUGAUGCCAUAGAAGAACCCUAGGAAAGAAAAAGUUGAAGUCUCAGACCCCUUUUCAGGCUCUGAUCAAGAGUUUCAUUGCUUCUUAUAGGAAAUAUGAGGAAUCUUUUGUGUCUUCUGGUAUGGGCUUCUUUGAUUUGGGUUCCUGUAUAUGGAAGAUUUGUGGUGGAGAAGAACAGUUUAAGGGUAACAUCCCCUGAUUCUUUGAAGGAUACUUAUGAGUGUGCUAUAGGCAAUUUUGGGGUGCCCCAGUAUGGUGGAACUAUGGUUGGAACUGUUACAUACCCGAAAUCGAACCAGAAGGCUUGUCGAGAGUAUAAAGAGGUCGAAAUCUCUUUCAAAUCCAAGCCUGGUGGGCUUCCAACUAUUGUUUUGGCUGACAGAGGAGAUUGUUACUUCACGUUGAAGGCAUGGAACGCACAGAAAGCAGGGGCAGCUGCUAUCUUGGUCGCCGAUGAUAAGAUCGAACCUUUAAUAACAAUGGACACUCCUGAAGAAGAGAAUUCGAAGGCAGAUUAUUUACAGAACAUUACUAUCCCCUCUGCCCUUAUCAGCAAAAGCUUUGGAGAUAGCAUUAAGAAAGCCUUAGCCAAUGGUGACAUGGUUAAUAUUAACUUGGAUUGGAGGGAGUCUCUUCCCCACCCUGAUGAGCGUGUGGAAUAUGAGUUCUGGACAAACAGUAAUGAUGAAUGUGGUCCCAAAUGUGAUACGCAAAUUGAGUUCAUAAAAAACUUUAAAGGAGCAGCACAAAUACUUGAGAAGGGGGGAUAUACUCAAUUUACUCCUCAUUAUAUUACCUGGUAUUGCCCCGAAGCUUUUAUCCUGAGCAAGCAAUGUAAAUCUCAGUGCAUCAACCAUGGGAGAUAUUGUGCUCCUGACCCGGAGCAGGAUUUCACUAAAGGGUAUGAUGGGAAAGAUGUCGUGGUUCAGAAUUUGAGGCAGGCUUGUUUGUAUAAAGUUGCCCAUCAAAAUAAGAAACCGUGGCUAUGGUGGGACUAUGUGACUGAUUUUUCGAUCAGAUGCCCGAUGAAAGAGCAGAAAUAUGGCAAGGAAUGUGCUGAUAAAGUGAUAGCAUCUCUAGGUAUUGAUGUUAAGGAGAUCGAUAAGUGUAUAGGCGAUACUGAAGCUGAUGUUGAGAAUCCUGUACUUAAAGCAGAACAAGAUUCACAGAUUGGGCAUGGUGCUCGCGGAGAUGUGACCAUUUUGCCAACACUUGUGAUUAAUGAGAGACAAUAUAGAGGCAAGUUGGACAAAGGUGCUGUUCUAAAAGCAAUUUGCGCUGGUUUCCAGGAGACAACAGAACCGUCGGUUUGUUUGAGUGAUGAAAUUGAGACGAAUGAAUGCUUGGAGAACAAUGGUGGUUGUUGGCAAGAUAAGGCUGCUAAUGUUACUGCUUGCAAGGACACUUUCCGUGGAAGAGUUUGCGAGUGUCCAAUUGUACGUGGUGUAAAGUUUGUGGGAGAUGGCUAUACCCAUUGCGAAGUUUCAGGAGCUGCACGCUGUGCAAUUAACAAUGGAGGCUGUUGGGAGAAAACCCAUGAUAGCAGGACAUACUCUGCUUGCAUUGAGAAUGAAUCUAAGGGUUGCAAAUGUCCUCCUGGCUUUAAGGGUAAUGGAGUGGAUUCUUGUGAAGAUGUGGAUGAGUGCAAAGAGAAGCUCGCCUGCCAAUGCCCAGAAUGCAAGUGCAAGAACACAUUUGGAAGUUAUGAGUGCAACUGCAAUGGCGAUCUAUUGUACAUGAGAGAGCAUGACACUUGUAUAAGUAAGAAGGCUACGACAGAGGUCGGAUGGAACUUUGUAUGGGUCAUUUUCCUUGGCUUGGCAGCGGCUGGCAUUGGAGGUUACGCGAUUUAUAAAUACAGAAUCCGGAGGUACAUGGAUUCAGAAAUUCGUGCCAUCAUGGCACAAUACAUGCCAUUGGACAAUCAAGGAGAAAUACCCAACCACAUGCAUCAAGAUAUUUAGGAUUAAGAGAGAUGGGGAGAAUAUUUGUAGCAGUCACUGCCUAAUCUCUGUGUGACCCAUGGAUCAGAUGAGAAGCUGAUCCAAUCGCACUUAUCUCCUUUUGGAUGAUGCAUCGAUUUGAAGGGGUGCCAUGACUGUUAGCUGCUCAGAAAUAUGAAGUAUGUAAAAUAUUGGGUGAGCCAUCCGGCGUGUAUUACAAGAGCGUUUUGAGCUGGCCGGAUGGCACAAAUUCAAUAUGAGCACAACUGGAUGAGCGUUUCGAGCUAGCCGGUUGGCUCAAAUUCAAUGUGAAUACUCCUGGAAGAGCAUUUCAAGCUGGCUGGAUGGCUCA